AUAGUGAAGGGAGUAUCACAACUUAGCAAUCCUCAGUCAGCCUCUUUCCCUUAUCUUCCAAAUUCACACUUCCGAGGUUGAGUAAGUAUUAGUGAAGUAAAGAUUCCUGACCAUUUCGAGGCUGAUGGCGGCAGAGAGACAAACAGAGGUUUAAUGUGAUUUAUUAACAGAGUUAAAAAUAGACGGAAAAACAGAGCACAGAAACUUGUUCUCGUGAGAGUGUGCAUGCUUUCAUUCUGAUCACUUUGUUAUACCAAAAAGAAAAAACACCCUCUGUUUCCUAUAUUCCAAAGGAAAGCAGUUGCACAUUUGAUCAGGAGUCUAAUUGUAUCUUGGCAAAGAAAAGGAGAAUUUGAGGACCUGGAGUUUUCCAUUUAGGGUAGUAUCAACAAGCUGGUCCACUGAGAGAGGAAAGCAAGCAUGUUGAAAUUGCUUUCGUUUUCAAAGCAUUUUCCUGUCCAGGAAGCAGGAGCAGUCAUGGCUGUAUAUCAUUCUGAGAGUGAGAACAAUGAAUCUGAAGAAGGCUCUGCAUAAUCUUCCUUUUCCACAGAAUCUGAAGAAGAAAAUGAAGAAAGUAGAGACGAAGAAAGAGCUGCAUCAGCCCAGUCAAUGCCUGUUUCUCCAAAAAGAACUCAGAAAUGAAAGUGAAAAUGAAGAACCUGAGCAUAAUGCUGUAUUGGUAGGAGCAUCAAUACCAACAUGAACAGGUACUAUCUAUCCAUGGACAUAUAAUGACAUUAUUUGAGAUAGGGCAGAAUUUUAAAAAGACUUAUGGGGUAAUGCAUAGAGAACUGGAGUAAACGCCAAGAACACUGUAUAUGCUGAGCCCAUCACUGUCACUACCUAUGUGCUUUGAUGUAAAUAUCCACACCUUUCUGAGACUCAUAUUUUUAAAUGGAAUUUAAAAUUGAAGAGCAGGGAAGUAAGUGCUAAUCUUGCUUUUAACAUCUUUAAAAAAUGUGCAAAACUACAGAUACAUAAGAAACUACUAACUGCACAAAACAGAAUAAGGAAGCAGUUAAGAAAAGUACAUACAAAGUAAUAAAAACUGCAUACAAGUAACACAUGCUAUGUAGUCACCAAGGAAACUGAUCAAUUAUCAGGCUACAUUAAAGAAUUGUGGUGUAGAAUGGUAGAUGAGCAGAAGUGAUAAUACCGUCUUUCGAGUACCAUAAUUUCAAAAGUUCUGAACAAACUUAAAAAGGAAUAAAAACCUAUAACCUUUUAUCAUGGUUUUAUCCAUUUAGUAUCUAUUAAUUGAAAAUCUACUGUAUGCUGUUCUAGUACUGUGUAUGGCAGUAAGCAAGACAGACAAAGCUCCUACCCUCAUGGACUUUGCAAUGUAGUGAAGGUAUGUAUAUAAUAAACAUGUAAAUAAUAAAUGGUAUGAUUUCAGAGAAUGCAUAAAAGAGAAUUAGAUUAUAGAAAGAUGGUGUGUGUGUGUGUGCCAGGGGUGGGCAAAGGAAGGCCAGUGAGCCACGGUGGUUAGCCAUGACCUCUCCCCAGAGGUGGCAUUUCAGUACAUGCUUGAAUGUGGGGAUGGAGUUGUGCCAAACUCUGAAAAAAAAAUGUUCUCUGGAAAGGGCAAACAAGAGCAAAGACCCCGAGACAAUAAUGCUCUUGCUGUUCAGGAAGGCUACAGACAAUCUGACUGGAGAGUAGAAAAUUAGGGGGAGCAUAAGUAGCAGAGCUAUUAAAGAGUCAGGCUGGGGAUUUUAUUUGCAAUAGAAAACACGGGAUAGUUGUUGUUUUUUUUUUUUUGGACAACUGUUUAUUAGUAGUUGAUGAUCCUUAUGAAUUCCAGGAGGGUUGCAUAGCCUUUGCUCUUCCUAGCCACCUAUUACAUUUAACGUCCAUUGCUAAAACAAGUGCUUAAACUUGUAUAAGUAUUAAAGAAUAUUUUUGUGCGAGCUAAGUUUUUUAAAUAAUAAUCUUCAAAGUGAAAGAGAGCUGUUAAUCUCCCACUUUUCUUUCCCUGUCUCUUUUAUUUCCCCUUUCUUACC
rnacentral:lncRNA from 1 species